AGCCAGCAGCCGCGGUAAUACGGGGGGGGCAAGCGUUGUUCGGAAUUACUGGGCGUAAAGGGCUCGUAGGCGGCUGCCUAAGUCGGACGUGAAAUCCCACGGCUCAACCGUGGAACUGCGUCCGGUACUGGGCGGCUUGAAUCCAAGAGAGGGAUGCGGAAUUCCAGGUGUAGCGGUGAAAUGCGUAGAUAUCUGGAGGAACACCGGUGGCGAAGGCGGCAUCCUGGAUUGGUAUUGACGCUGAUGAGCGAAAGCCAGGGGAGCAAACGGGAUUAGAUACCCCGGUAGUCCUGGCCCUAAACGAUGAAUGCUUGGUGUGGUGGGUAUCGAUCCCCGCCGUGCCGAAGCUAACGCAUUAAGCAUUCCGCCUGGGGAGUACGGUCGCAAGGCUGAAACUUAAAGGAAUUGGCGGGGGA
rnacentral:rRNA from 1 species